GAAACAUCUCGCCUACUAUAGUAUCAAUAAUCAGUCGACUAUCAAUUUGUUAGUUUAUUAUUAAUUUGAUGUGAUUUCUACCAUGGAUAAUUCUUAGAGUAAUGGGGAGUGCCGGCAGAAGUAAACAGGUCAGUCAUCGCAAGUGACAGAUGGACUGCAUACCGGACAAUUAGCAAACACGGAAAUGAACACCAAGUAAUAAACUACACAGAACACUUUGUGGAUCCCGUAAACCCUGAGUUCCACACUCAAAACAUUGAGUGGUUGUGGCGUGACGUUAAAGAGUGGAGCAAGAGACCAGGUAAUAGACAAGAAUUCUAUAAAUAAUACUUGGCCCGGUAUCUGUUUCUGCACCAAUACAAGCCGGAAGUAGUCCACCACCACUUCUUCGUCGAAGCCGGGAAGCUAUAGCCUCCGCUGUCCGAGAAGGAACGGUGGAUAGCGAUCUCAUUUCCCGCCAACAAUGGCGUGGAUGACCCGACGAUCCCAGUGACCCACAAUCUGGCCUGUCUGGAGUUAGUGCAUAAGGAGACUACGUAAGGAGGAGAAGCCUAAUUUCCCUCACUCUGCCCUCGCCUCUCCCGCCCCGUGAAGCCAGGGUUCCCUUGAGCGAGGAGCCUCCUAUGUUGAGACCCAAGGGAAGGCACGUGCAGUCACUCAGCUGCUGGAAGGUUGGCUGUGCAGAGAGUGUGUAAAUCCAAAAGGUAAGAUCAUGGAAGAAUGGGUUUAGCUGUAUCAUAUUAGUUUGCAUAUGGCUGUGGGUAAAUGGGUAAGAUCAUGGAGGAAUGGGUCAAGCUGUAUCAUAUUAGUUUGCAUAUGGCUGUGGGUAAAUGUGGAGUAAGGCAAAUAUGUGCAUAUGUAUAUGUUUACAUGUAAGUACUCUCUGAAAGGGAAAAGGGAUCACCGGGACUGUAGCCACUACCAUGGCAUCACUAUGCUCUGUAUAGCAGAUAAGGAAUUUACACCCAUUCUCGUCAGUAACA